GACGAACGCUGGCGGCGUGCCUAAUACAUGCAAGUAGAACGCUGAAGGAGGAGCUUGCUUCUCCGGAUGAGUUGCGAACGGGUGAGUAACGCGUAGGUAACCUGCCUGGUAGCGGGGGAUAACUAUUGGAAACGAUAGCUAAUACCGCAUAAGAGUAGAUGUUGCAUGACAUUUGCUUAAAAGGUGCAAUUGCAUCACUACCAGAUGGACCUGCGUUGUAUUAGCUAGUUGGUGGGGUAACGGCUUACCAAGGCGACGAUACAUAGCCGACCUGAGAGGGUGAUCGGCCACACUGGGACUGAGACACGGCCCAGACUCCUACGGGAGGCAGCAGUAGGGAAUCUUCGGCAAUGGACGGAAGUCUGACCGAGCAACGCCGCGUGAGUGAAGAAGGUUUUCGGAUCGUAAGGCUCUGUUGUAAGAGAAGAACGAGUGUGAGAGUGGAAAGUUCACACUGUGACGGUAUCUUACCAGAAAGGGACGGCUAACUACGUG
rnacentral:rRNA from 1 species